UUAAAACUUUUUAGAGAUAGCAACGUGGUUCUCACAGGACAGCAACGCUACAAACAUGUCAUGAUCUUAUAGAAUAGGAUGCAUUGCUGCAUAUUAAACUACCAAAGAGUAUAUAAAGAAGAUACGAUGAGCACGACCUUAACAUCUACAGCAGUAAAGUGCAACAUGCACAUAAAUGCAGCA